rnacentral:lncRNA from 1 species
AAACUUUAUCAACUUAAAUUUUAAGGUGCUACCAAUAUCAUUCCAUAAACAUACAUCCAACGGAAAUAAAAAUUGAAAACUUAAAACUUUAAUUUACUGAAUACUCAAAUGCUGAAUCAAAUAAAUGUAUUGCCAUGUAACAUGGAAUGUUAAAUGGAAAUAAAUGGAAACACAAAAUGUCCUAGAAAAAUUAUUUUUAAAUGUUUUCUUGAAAAUUUUCUUACUUGGCAACCUGCGCACUGCUCAGCUACCAUCCACGUCGACCGAUCUGACCUGAAAUGUUAAAUUUGGAGUGAGUAAUUUAUACUCAAUAGGAUACGUGCAUCCGAAACAAUGUGAUAAUUUUUAAAACAUGAGUUUAUUCCAUACCAUCAUUUCAUCAAGAGCGAUUGGUGAUCAAUUGAAUAAUCUAACAUAUUUGAGAAGACGCGAAGGAGAUUUCACAUUUCAUUUCAUAGGGACCCACAGGCCAAUUAUCAUUUCAUGAAAUAAAUCAUGUCAUAAAUUAUAAUAUUGAAAGGACGGAAGAACUUGCUCACAAUAUCCUACCUGAUUUGAAAAGUUGUAAUGGAAAAAUGCACGUGAAAAAUUCCUUUUUAAUGAUUCAUUCUCUCUGACUUGAUUAUUUAUUUUCUUUAGUAAAAAGCUUUCUGAAGUUUCUGUGAGUAUAUGCUUGGAAUACAUGAGCUUUAUAUAGAGGUGGCUAGAAUAAAAGAUAAGUUCUAUCUCAACCAAAAGACUUACUUGAUUUGUACUAUCUCAAAUAAAUCACGUGAGAGAGAAAAAGAGAGGGUAUAUGCUAUGUGACCAAGAUUUGACUAAAUCCUAAUCGGUUAGUUAUUCUAGGCAUGCAGACUUGUCCAUAACUCAAUUAAAAUUCUUCAAUCUCUUACCUAAUUUCAACAAAAGCAAUAUCUUAUUGUCAACAAAAUCGAGGACUGCUGGAAUCGGGAGCACUCGAUUUGCUUUAGGACUUGUAUGACAUAAUAUUUUCUAAAAUAAACAAUGUACAUGUAAUCGAUUAAUUAGCGGAUUCUGCUGGUUAAUUAAGAUAGUUAAUCACUUAGGAUUAUCUUUAUUUUACUCAACCAACAAAAUUUGAUUAGAUUAGCACCCCGUUUGAUCCCCAUUAAAUUCAAUUACAUUACAUUCCAUUUUUUUCUCUUCUAUUUUCAACCACACAAUCUUUCAUAAAAUAAUAUUACACGUAAAUCGAAAACUUGUCCUUCUUUUUCAACCACUCAUUUUUCUAAAAAAAUACUAUUCCCCCCAUUUUCAUUUUCAGGUAAUAGGGGUCAAAUGGGGGCUAGAUAUAUCUUCAACUUAUAGCUAAGUCAACCGCAUAUAAAAUAAUUCUAUAAUAGAUUUAUUUGAAUUUAAAAAUUCUAAUCUCAGUUCAUAUAUUAUAUACUAGAUCACGGUUUAUGAAAAACCCAACAGAACCACAUGGCACAAUAAAGGGGAACAGUUUUUAUUUGGAUUAAUGUGAACCUAAUUCAAUUGACAGAGAUUAUAGAAUAAAAAGGUUAAAUAAAAUGCACGUGUACGUAAACUAAUUUGGUUAAUUUCUUCAAACUAAAGAUAAAUGUGAUUAUACAAAUAAAAUAUUAUAAUCUUUUGCUAAUUAUCUUGAAGGAUACAUUAAAAAAAUACAUAUGAAAUAUGAUGCUUUUGCUUAACUUAUACGACCUUAUAUUUUCUUGAGCCCAACCUACAUUAUUUAAUUCGGACUACAAAAUAAGCUUAAUAUUGAUAUGCUUAUUUUCGCUCCUUUAAAAUCUAAUUAUUUGGCCCAAUUAAACUAUGAAUUUAGAACCUACUUCAUUUCAGUUUUCCAUUUUUUUAUUUUUUUAUUUUUAUAAUAUAAAAGUAUUACAUAUAAAAU